rnacentral:rRNA from 1 species
AACGAACGCUGGCGGCAUGCCUAACACAUGCAAGUCGAACGAGACCUUCGGGACUAGUGGCGCACGGGUGCGUAACGCGGGGGAACCUGCCCUUAGGUUCGGAAUACCUCCCCGAAAGGGGUGCUAAUGCCGGAAAAUGUACUCGGACCCAAGAUCUAUCGUCUUUGGAUGGGCGCGCGUUGGAUUAGCUAGUUGGGAGGGUAAAAGCCUACCAAGGCUACGAUACAUAGCUGGUCUGAGAGGAUGAUCAGCCACACUGGGACUGAGACACGGCCCAGACUCCUACGGGAGGCAGGAGUGGGGGAUAUAGGACAAUGGGCGAAAGGCUGAUCCAGCAAUGCCGCGUGAGUGAUGAAGGCCUGAGGGUUGUAAAGCUCUUUUACCCGGGAUGAUAAUGACAGUACCGGGAGAAUAAGCACCGGCUAACUCCGUG